GUCACUUUGCCGGAGUGGUUAACGGGAUCGCCUGCUAUUCAUGGCUGCUAGCGGUUGGGCUUUGCCCGCGAGUGUUCGAAUCGCUCAGGUGACG
rnacentral:tRNA from 2 species